UACGUAGGGGGCAAGCGUUGUCCGGAAUCAUUGGGCGUAAAGCGCGUGUAGGCGGCUCGGCAAGUCUGGUGUGAAAACUUGAGGCUCAACCUCAAGCUGUCACUGGAGACUGCCGGGAUUGAGUCCGGAAGAGGAGAGUGGAAUUCCUGGUGUAGCGGUGGAAUGCGCAGAUAUGAGGAGGAACACCUAUGGCGAAGGCAGCUCUCUGGUACGUGACUGACGCUGAGGCGCGAAAGCGUGGGGAGCGAACAGG
rnacentral:rRNA from 1 species